AGGGAUGUGGCUCAGUGGUAGAGAACUUACCUAGUGUGUGAGAGAUCCUGGGUUCAAUCUCAGCAACCCCC
rnacentral:tRNA from 1 species